AGUCGUAACAAGGUAACCGUAGGUGAACCUGCGGUUGGAUCAUUAACAAUGGUUUUCAAACCUUUUAUCUGUGCACCCUACAUCGCUGUAUUCUUCUGAAGAGAUCAGUGCUACUGUUCAUCUCUUGCCUCUUUUCUUUUGAAAGAGAGCUCGAGAACUUUUUAAACCAUGUAUUUUAUCGAGUCUUGAAUUUGUAUUAAAAUGAAAAACUUUUGACAACGGAUCUCUUGGCUCUC
rnacentral:misc_RNA from 1 species